CGAGUGAAGCUAAGUUUGCCGAAUUAGGCAGCCAAACAAGCUUUUUAAAAGAAAAAAAAAAGGAAAAAAAUAUUCUGUCUUUCUCGCUCCUUACCUAAACUUUCUCUCUCCACUGCAAAAAAGAAAAAAUGGCGAUUUCUUCUAGAAAAUCGAGCGGACCUGUACUCCGUUCCCUUUCUCCGUCGGGAAGAUUCUACAGCUCUCAGUACACCUCGUCGCCUUCUUCCUCCUCCUCGGCGUUCGCUUCGUCGAGCUCGAGAUUCUCCUCCCGUUCCGCGACUACUUUCUUCCACCGUUCGGCCUCCCCCACGCGCGUCAACGUCCGCGGCGGCGCGCCGUCCGCGUCCUCCGUGCGGUUCUCUCUCGACCGUCCGACCUCUCCUAGCCGGUCGAUCUCCGUCGGCGUGAAGAGCAACCAGGUCGUGAAGAGGCAGAGCAGCCAGAAGCGGACGUGUCUGUGCUCUCCGACGACUCAUCCAGGCUCGUUCCGGUGCAGCCUCCACAAGAAUUUCGGAAACUCUCACCACACGGCGGCGGCGCCGUACUCGCCGAACCGCCUCAACGCCCGGAGGUCGGCGAUGACGAACUCGCUCGUGAGAAUCGGCAGCGUCGAAGGCGAUCUGGUGAAGCGAGCCUUAGCGGCGUUGAUCCGGCCGUCGUCGCACCAGCAGCGGCGGCGUGGCGACUUCCGGCCGAGGCCGAGCCGGCUCUCGGUCAUGUCCAAAGCCGGAGUUGAAUAUUCUUGAUCGCGAUUUGCGUAUAGGUGUUCUACGUAUUGUUAUUCGGUUGCUGUGCCUUGAGCUACGUAUUUCCUUCGCCACUGGACCAGAUGCGUGAACCAGGUAUAUAUCUGUGCUUUGUGCUUGUUUUCCUUUGCAGGUGUAUUUACCUUUGCUUUUUGAAUUUGGAAGGAAAUCGAUGGAUCGGACCUGAAAGCUGAAAAGAAUUCAAAUAUUAAAUUCCCUGAUAAAUAACAGAACAAAUAAUUAUUGGAAUAAAAAUAAUUUGAAGUUUUAAAAUUAAACAAGCCUCUAGUCGUUGUGCGAGAGGUACCUAACCUUAACUAGCUGAUCAACUGAAUAAUGUUUUGAUAUUAAAGUUGUACUUAAACGCAAUUUUUUUUUUUUCCAAAAAAAAAGUAAGAGUUGGUACUUCUACAAUUAAAAACAUUUAAAUCAAAUAAAUCCCUUCGUCACAAUCAAUCUUAUCCCACCGAAAUUAAAAUAGCGAAGGAUGGCCCCUCUGCAUGACCGCAACUAUUGACUAAGAAU